rnacentral:rRNA from 1 species
AGGACGAACGCUGGCGGCAUGCCUAACACAUGCAAGUCGAACGGAGCUUAAGAAGCUUGCUUUUAAGCUUAGUGGCGGACGGGUGAGUAACGCGUGAGUAACCUGCCUCUUAGUGGGGAAUAAUGUACUGAAAAGGACACUAAUACCGCAUAAUGUAUUGAGAUCGCAUGGUUUUGAUACCAAAGAUUUAUCGCUGAGAGAUGGACUCGCGUCCGAUUAGCCAGUUGGUGGGGUAACGGCCUACCAAAGCGACGAUCGGUAGCCGGACUGAGAGGUUGAACGGCCACAUUGGGACUGAGACACGGCCCAGACCCCUACGGGAGGCAGCAGUGGGGGAUAUUGCGCAAUGGGGGAAACCCUGACGCCAGCAAUGCCGCGUGGAGGAUGAAGGUCUUCGGAUUGUAAACUCCUUUUGUCAGGGACGAAAAUGACGGUACCUGACGAAUAAGCUCCGGCUAACUACGUGCCAGCAGCGGC